CACGUAGGGGGCAAGCGUUGUCCGGAUUCAUUGGGCGUAAAGAGCUCGUAGGCGGCUUGUCGCGUCGACUGUGAAAUCCCGCGGCUCAACUGCGGGUCUGCAGUCGAUACGGGCAGGCUAGAGUUCGGUAGGGGAGACUGGAAUUCCUGGUGUAGCGGUGAAAUGUGCAGAUAUCAGGAGGAACACCGGUGGCGAAGGCGGGUCUCUGGGCCGAUACUGACGCUGAGGAGCGAAAGCGUGGGGAGCGAACAGG
rnacentral:rRNA from 1 species